CCUACGGGGGGCAGCAGUGGGGAAUAUUGGACAAUGGGGGGAACCCUGAUCCAGCGGCGCCGCGUGAGUGAAGAAGUAUUUCGGUAUGUAAAGCUCUAUCAGCAGGGAAGAAAGACAUGACGGUACCGGACUAAGAAGCCCCGGCUAACUACGUGCCAGCAGCCGCGGUAAUACGGAGGGGGCAAGCGUUAUCCGGAUUUACUGGGUGUAAAGGGAGCGUAGACGGCGAUGCAAGUCUGAAGUGGAAGGCGGGGGCCCAACCCCUGGACUGCUUUGGAAACUGUAUGGCUGGAGUGCAGGAGCGGUAAGUGGAAUUCCUAGUGUAGCGGUGAAAUGCGUAGAUAUUAGGAGGAACACCAGUGGCGAAGGCGGCUUACUGGACUGUAACUGACGUUGUGGCUCGAAAGCGUGGGGAGCAAACAGGAUUAGAUACCCGAGUAGUC
rnacentral:rRNA from 1 species